rnacentral:snoRNA from 1 species
AUCCUUUUGCAGAUCAUAAGCAGGGUGACUGGGUUUUCACAUUCAUGUGUGAGAUAUGCCCCCCUCAAACCUUGUUAUGAAGUAGGCACAUUACCCAUCUGACA